rnacentral:rRNA from 1 species
CUUGAAACCGUGUGCUUACAAGUAGUCAGAGCCCGUUAAUGGGUGAUGGCGUGCCUUUUGUAGAAUGAACCGGCGAGUUACGAUCUGAUGCAAGGUUAAGCAGAAAAUGUGGAGCCGUAGCGAAAGCGAGUCUGAAUAGGGCGAAUGAGUAUUUGGUCGUAGACCCGAAACCAGGUGAUCUACCCUUGGUCAGGUUGAAGUUCAGGUAACACUGAAUGGAGGACCGAACCGACUUACGUUGAAAAGUGAGCGGAUGAACUGAGGGUAGCGGAGAAAUUCCAAUCGAACUUGGAGAUAGCUGGUUCUCUCCGAAAUAGCUUUAGGGCUAGCCUCAAGUGAUGAUUAUUGGAGGUAGAGCACUGUUUGGACGAGGGGCCCCUCUCGGGUUACCGAAUUCAGACAAACUCCGAAUGCCAAAUAAUUUAACUUGGGAGUCAGAAUGUGGGUGAUAAGGUCCAUAUUCGAAAGGGAAACAGCCCAGACCACCAGCUAAGGUCCCAAAAUAUAUGUUAAGUGGAAAAGGAUGUGGCGUUGCCCAGACAACUAGGAUGUUGGCUUAGAAGCAGCCAUCAUUUAAAGAGUGCGUAAUAGCUCACUAGUCGAGUGACACUGCGCCGAAAAUGUACCGGGGCUAAACAUAUUACCGAAGCUGUGGAUUGUCCUUUGGACAAUGGUAGGAGAGCGUUCUAAGGGCGUUGAAGCAUGAUCGCAAGGACAUGUGGAGCGCUUAGAAG